CCUCCUCCAUGAUUAGAAGUUCCAUGAGUCCUGGUGACUACUUAUCAGAAGGCCAAUUCUAUAAGGCCCUAAAGGAAAAACUAUCAACGGAAGAUGAAAGUUUCAAGGAGUCAUUUCAGUCAAGAAAAAAGGAGUUACUGAAAUUCCUUGAGCAAGAGAGUGAAAAAUAAUUCCUGAAUUCUUCCUCUAUGCAAGAUACUAUAUAAGAUGCAAAAACUGAAUAAUAUCCCUGCCCUCAUGGAUCAUCCAAUCUAGCUGGAAAUACAGAACACUUUCACCUUGGACUCAAGAGAUGUAGUCUUUAUGAAAUACUGUGCUUAGCUUCUAAAGAGCAUGGAGACAAAGCCAUUAAGAGAAGAAAACAUUUCUGCAAGAGAAAAAUAAACAGCAUAGAAUGAAAGACUUGGAUGACAAGAGUGUAUUGAGGAAACUUCAGGUGCCGGUAACACAUUAAGAUGGAGAUGGUGAAUAUACAAUUAGAAGUACAGAUCUAUAUAGCUCAGUAGAAAGAUUAUAGCUAGAGGUAAAAAUUGGAGGAACCCAAUGUUUAGAGAUGAUAAUUAAAUAAAUGGAUAUCGUGCUUUUGUAUACAUACUUAUAUAUUUUGGCACUGCAAAAGAUCAAUGAUCGUAUUAGAGUACAUACUUACAAAUCUCAACUCAUUCUUGCCUUCACAUCACAUAUGAUCAUUGUUCAUGACUUCCAUCAAUCAUCAAUAAAACAUCUAGAUAUUUGUUUUCUUCUAAAAGGGUUUUCCUUCUUCAAAAUUUUUGUCUCAAUACAGCAUUCAUAAUUGAUGCUUCCUUGUGGUGUAGAGAUAAUACUAGGUCCUUAAGACAUUAUUCUGAACUUUAAAGUUACAA